AGUACAAUCCAAAACCCUUAACGAGGAACAAUUGGAGGGCAAGUCUGGUGCCAGCAGCCGCGGUAAUUCCAGCUCCAAUAGCGUAUAUUAAAGUUGCUGCAGUUAAAAAGCUCGUAGUCGGAUUUCGGGGCCGCGCGGCCGGUCUGCCGAGAGGUAUUGCACUGGUCGAGCGGCUCUUCCUUCUGGAGGCUGCGUCUGCUCUUAGUUGGGCGGGCGUGUGCGUCCAGGUCGUUUACUUUGAAAAAACUAGAGUGUUCAAAGCAGGCCAAUCGCCUUGAAUACAUUAGCAUGGAAUAAUGGAAUAGGACUUUGGUUCUAUUUUGUUGGUUUCUAGGACUGAAGUAAUGAUUAAUAGGGAUAGUUGGGGGCAUUCAUAUUUCGUUGCUAGAGGUGAAAUUCUCAGAUUUAUGAAAGAUGAACUUCUGCGAAAGCAUUUGCCAAGGAUGUUUUCAUUGAUCAAGAACGAAAGUUAGGGGAUCGAAGACGAUCAGAUACCGUCGUAGUCUUAACCAUAAACUACGCCGACUAGGGAUUGGUGGAUGUUCCAUUGUUGACUCCAUCAGCACCUUAUGAGGAAUCAAAGUAUUUGGGUCCGGGGGGAGUAUGGUCGCAAGGCUGAAACUUAAAGGAAUUGACGGAAGGGCACCACCAGGCGUGGAGCCUGCGGCUUAAUUUGACUCAACACGGGGAAACUUACCAGGUCCAGACAAAGUAAGGAUUGACAGAUUGAGAGCUCUUUCUUGAUUCUUUGGUUGGUGGUGCAUGGCCGUUCUUAGUUGGUGGAGUGAUCUGUCUGGUUAAUUCCGAUAACGAACGAGACCUCAGCCUACUAAAUAGCUACGCGAAUCCUCGGAUCCGCGGCCAGCUUCUUAGAGGGACAAUUUGUUUCUAGCGAAUGGAAGUUUGAGGCAAUAACAGGUCUGUGAUGCCCUUAGAUGUUCUGGGCCGCACGCGCGUUACACUGGUGAAUUCAGCAAGUCUUUCCUAGGCCGAGAGGUCUGGGUAAUCUUCGAAAAUUCAUCGUGAUGGGGAUAGAGCGCUGCAACGCGCUCUUAAACGAGGAAUGCCUAGUAAGCGCGAGUCAUCAGCUCGCACUGAUUACGUCCCUGCCCUUUGUACACACCGCCCGUCGCUCCUACCGAUCGAAUGAUCCGGUGAAGUUUUUGGACCGUUGCUGCGCGAGGGCUUGCCUGAGCGCGGUGAUGGGAAAUCACCUAAACCUUAUCAUUUAGAGGAAGGAGAAGUCGUAACAAGGUU
rnacentral:rRNA from 1 species